CCUACGGGUGGCUGCAGUCGAGGAUCUUCGGCAAUGGGCGCAAGCCUGACCGAGCGACGCCGCGUGUGCGACGAAGGCCUUCGGGUUGUAAAGCACUGUCGAGGGGGAGAAAGCCGCGAGGUUGAUCGAUCCCUGGAGGAAGCACGGGCUAAGUUCGUGCCAGCAGCCGCGGUAAGACGAACCGUGCGAACGUUGUUCGGAAUCACUGGGCUUAAAGGGCGCGUAGGCGGCUGCUCAAGUCCGGGGUGAAAGCCCCCCGCUCAACGGGGGAAGGG
rnacentral:rRNA from 1 species